UGGGGAAUUUUGGACAAUGGGGGAAACCCUGAUCCAGCCAUCCCGCGUGUGCGAUGAAGGCCUUCGGGUUGUAAAGCACUUUUGGCAGGAAAGAAACGUCAUGGGUUAAUACCCCGUGAAACUGACGGUACCUGCAGAAUAAGCACCGGCUAACUACGUGCCAGCAGCCGCGGUAAUACGUAGGGUGCAAGCGUUAAUCGGAAUUACUGGGCGUAAAGCGUGCGCAGGCGGUUCGGAAAGAAAGAUGUGAAAUCCCAGAGCUCAACUUUGGAUCUGCAUUUUUAACUACCGGGCUAGAGUGUGUCAGAGGGGGGUGGAAUUCCGCGUGUAGCAGUGAAAUGCGUAGAUAUGCGGAGGAACACCGAUGGCGAAGGCAGCCUCCUGGGAUAACAAUGACGCUCAUGCACGAAAGCGUGGGGAGCAAACAGG
rnacentral:rRNA from 1 species